rnacentral:rRNA from 1 species
UUUUUUUUUUUGGCUCAGAUUGAACGCUAGCGGCAUGCUUUACACAUGCAAGUCGAACGGCAGCGCGGGGUAACCUGGCGGCGAGUGGCGAACGGGUGAGUAAUACAUCGGAACGUGCCCUGUGAUGGGGGAUAACUACGCGAAAGCGUAGCUAAUACCGCAUACGACCUACGGGUGAAAGUGGGGGAUCGCAAGACCUCACGUCAUAGGAGCGGCCGAUGGCGGAUUAGCUAGUUGGUGAGGUAAAGGCUUACCAAGGCAACGAUCCGUAGCUGGUCUGAGAGGACGACCAGCCACACUGGGACUGAGACACGGCCCAGACUCCUACGGGAGGCAGCAGUGGGGAAUCUUGGACAAUGGGGGCAACCCUGAUCCAGCAAUGCCGCGUGUGGGAUGAAGGCCUUCGGGUUGUAAACCACUUUUGGCGGGGGCGAAAUAUCGAGUGCUAAUACCAUUCGGUGA